CUCGACAUGUUCUCCAUUUAGGAGAUCUCUUGGGAAUUUGCAACUAUGGUUAGUGAGGUCAUCAUAAGUAGAAUCGUUCACGGGGAGGUCUUCACUUGUUUUCUAUCCUUCCUGAAUCAUGACAUCUUCAGUGACUCUUAUCAAUGCGCCAUAAUGUACCACCUACUCUUUUAAAUCUAUCACCCACCUCUACUCGCUUCUUGAUUCUUUGCACCCCAUUAUAUAAAUUUGAAAGUCCGAAACAAAAGAAAGGAAAUAGAAAGGGCCAAAGGAACGAUAAGUGGAAGAGAGUGAUAGCAUUGGAGUUUCGAUUGUUUCUUCACAUUUUCACUUUCUAGAUUUCUAUGUCCAUAAGCAUGGGAGGCAUCAAGGAAAAAGCAAUGCAGCACACCAAUGUGAAUAUGUAAGCAAUCGUCCAUGUUAUCCUUUUCUUACAAAAACUUAGAUGCUUGAUAUUCUUAAGCUAAGACAUAAACUUAGAACUACAUGCGUAGUUGAGCAUUCUACGCCACUUUAUAUAUACUAGUAACAAUGCACGUGCAACGCACGUAUCCGUCAUCAAAUAUAAAUAUGAGUAUGCUUAAAGUAUCCAAAAUUUAAAAUCCUUGUCCUAGUAUAAUUUAUAAUAUUUUUUCAUAAAUGGGAACCUAUAUACAAGUCUUCUAGAAUGAUCUUUCGGAGAUAAAUUAUAAUUGAAUAUAGGAAUCUUAACAUUCCUUUUAAAAAUCGAUAAAUGCAUUCAGGAAACCAAAUGCUAGGUGUAUGCAAAAUGCACUUCACAGACUUUUACACACGUCAAACCCUAUGCCGAGUACAGAUCUGCCUUUGCAAGGUGCUAAACAUAGAAUGUUUUUCUUUAGAAUAUUGGCCCAAAAAAAAACUACAACAUCACAAACUGCAGGCUCAUAGAGAAAGAUCGGUUUGAUAUACUGAAGAGGCAUUUAAUAUUAAUAUGAAAAAAAUGAGGUUACAUCUGCUUUUAACAUGGUAUACAUAUACAAUCCCCCAAAUACAAAUAGGACUAUUCAAACAAGACUUCAAAUCAUAAUCUGAAAAUGAGGAAGGGCACCUAACUUUGGUGACAAACAGAGCAUAUGGCCAAUCUGACCUGAAUAAUCACAUGCACCUGUGCAAAUGCACGUACAAACGUUGAUUAUACUAUAAUCAAGCUGGUACUAUGUAGAAAUAACCAUGUCAAAAAUUAUUGCAGGCGAUCAAAUACUAUAAAUCAACUACAUAGGUUUAGAUUUUCACUCAAAAAACAGGGCAAUGAAGCCAGAAAACACUGACACUGGAUGUCUCCAAGCAGUUCAAAGCAAAAUCCUGCCACGCAAUGACCUACUAUGCGUGUCGCUGCUGUCCGUGGCGUCUUUGUCUUCCAUGCAUGAUAGAAUCAACUUAUGGGGCAUGAAGAUGACAAUAACUGCACGAGGAUGGCCCCAAGCUAAGCUACGCUCGCUUGAAUUGGAGUUUGGCAAAGAGCAUUGUUGUAUCAUCACUUAUGUCAGAAUUAGAAUAUAUGAUAACCAUCUUGCAAACAGAAUAUUCACUUUAUCAGUUUUCGUAAGAAAAAUAGAAAAUCACAAUCCAUCAGUGUGUUAUUCCAUCUAUCAACACAAGGCC
rnacentral:lncRNA from 1 species